GUUUUUUAGGGAGAGCCCCAAAAAAGCGAAUUCCAAAAUAUGUUUUUUGCUUUAUGUGCGCAUCCUCUACCUAUUAAGUGUUAAUUAAAUUAAAGGGUUUCUUUUUAGCACACUUCUGCAAGCUAAUAUAUAGUGGGCUUUGGU
rnacentral:rRNA from 1 species